rnacentral:lncRNA from 1 species
GAUUUUAAGUGAAUUUGAUCAUGCACAUGCUACUGUUCAUGUCCAAAAUUUGCAUGGCACCUCACAAUUUCAAUUUUUGGUCACACACCUUAUUUUGCUUAAUCUCAAUUAACCAAUGUAAAUGUGGAUUAGCAAUGUGAUUAAGAGACCAUAUAUAAACAAAAUCAUAACAGAAUUUCACAGUUUUUGCUCAUUCUAGAUCCAAAAUUU